rnacentral:rRNA from 1 species
UACGUAGGGGGCUAGCGUUAUCCGGAAUUACUGGGCGUAAAGGGUGCGUAGGUGGUUUCUUAAGUCAGAGGUGAAAGGCUACGGCUCAACCGUAGUAAGCCUUUGAAACUGGGGAACUUGAGUGCAGGAGAGGAGAGUGGAAUUCCUAGUGUAGCGGUGAAAUGCGUGGAUAUUAGGAGGAACACCAGUUGCGAAGGCGGCUCUCUGGACUGUAACUGACACUGAGGCACGAAAGCGUGGGGAGCAAACAGG